rnacentral:tRNA from 3 species
GGUGAGAUGGCAGAGUGGCCUAAUGCACUUCCCUGCUAAGGAAGAGUACCCCCUGGGUACCGAGGGUUCAAAUCCCUCUCUCACCGCCA